rnacentral:miRNA from 1 species
ACUGCUGCAUCCUGCUGCCUUGG